CACGUAGGGGGCAAGCGUUGUCCGGAUUUAUUGGGCGUAAAGAGCUCGUAGGCGGUUUCGUAAGUCGGGUGUGAAAACUCUAGGCUCAACCUAGAGACGCCACCCGAUAUUGCGAUGACUAGAGUCCGGUAGGGGAGUGUGGAAUUCCUGGUGUAGCGGUGAAAUGCGUAGAUAUCUGGAGGAACACCGGUGGCGAAGGCGGCAUCCUGGACCAACACUGACGCUGAUGAGCGAAAGCCAGGGGAGCAAACGGG
rnacentral:rRNA from 1 species